GUCUGGGUGGUGUACUGGGUUAUCACGCUAGUCUCACACACUAGAGGUCCCCGGUUUGAACCCGGGCUCAGACA
rnacentral:tRNA from 1 species